AAUACGAGUGCCUCAAGCGUUAUCCGGAAUCAUUGGGCGUAAAGGGUGUGUAGGUGGUCAUAUUAGUCUUCUGUUAAAUUCUUCGGCUUAACCGGGGGCAUGCAGGGGAAACGGUAUGACUUGAGGAUGCGAGGGGUCUGUGGAACUCUAGGUGUAGCGGUGAAAUGCGUUGAUAUCUAGGGGAACACCAAAAGCGAAGGCAGCAGACUGGAGCACUCCUGACACUGAAACACGAAAGCGUGGGUAGCGAAUGGGAUUAGAUACCCCAGUAGUCCACGCCCUAAACGAUGUUCAUUAGCUAUUCGGAGUAUCGACCCUCUGAGUGGCGUAGCUAACGCGUUAAAUGAACCGCCUGGGUAGUACGACCGCAAGGUUAAAACUCAAAGGAAUAGACGGGGACUUGCACAAGCGGAGGAUCAUGUGGUUUAAUUCGAUGGUAAACGAAGAACCUUACCAGGGUUAGAAAUCUAGUUGAAGACGAGCAGAAACGUUCGUCGCCGCAAGGCAAUUAGACAGGUGCUGCAUGGUCGUCGUCAGUUCGUGAUUUGAAUUGUUCCCUUCAGUGGGGUAACGAACGCAACCCUCGUUGCCUGUUAUAAGUGUCAGGCGAGACUGCCCACGACAGAGAGCAUGAGUCAUAUAUUUAAAUGUAUAUGCUUCGUGACCUGUGUCGUGGGAGGAAGGUGAGGAUGACGCCAGAUCAGCAUGGCCCUUUGAUACCCUGGGCUACACACGUGAUACAAUGGCAUCUACAACGGGAUGCGACGGGGAAACCCUGAGCAAAUCCUUAGAAAGGGUGCCUAAGUUCGGAUAGAGGUCUGCAACUCGACCUCUUGAAGUUGGAUUCGCUAGUAAUCUCGGGUCAGCCAUACCGAGGUGAAUACGUUCUCAAGUCUUGUACUCACCGCCCGUCAACUCAAGGGAGUUGGGAGUACCCGAAGUCUACAUUUAUUGUGGCCUAAGGUAAGCUCAAUGACAGGGAGUAAGUCGUAACAAGGCACGGGUAGCGGAAGCUGCUCGUG
rnacentral:rRNA from 1 species